UACAGAGGGAGCAAGCGUUGUUCGGAAUUACUGGGCGUAAAGGGCGCGUAGGCGGUUCGAUAAGUCCCGUGUGAAAUCCCUCCGGCUCAACUGAGGAAUGGCACGGGAAACUGACGGGCUUGAGUUCGGGAGAGGGAAGCGGAAUUCCGGGUGGUAGCGGUGAAAUGCGUAGAUAUCCGGAGGAACACCGGUGGCGAAGGCGG
rnacentral:rRNA from 1 species